GUUGAAGUAUAUGUUUACGCCUACUGUUCCAGGAAGUGACCAUGUUCCAGGAAGUAAAAGUUUCAUUCAGAAGGUUAGUCCUUUUCAUGCAGAUGUCUCCUGAUAUCACAGGACUCACAGGCCACAAAUAAAACCACAUCUCCUUCCUUCACUCACCGGGAGAGAUCAUUUAAUCCAGGACGAGGAGCUACAGGAGUGCGAGGGAGGAUUUCCAGAACAUCACAUCUUCCCUUGGUCGUGGAAUUAAAGUGGUGAAUAAUUCAUGGCUGAAAGCAUCCGUCAUCUCUCCAAGCUGCAUCUUCUCCUGGACACCAGGGGAUUUGAAGGCAAG